rnacentral:rRNA from 1 species
GGGUCAGUAGGUUGGUCGUGCCACCGGUACGUACUGGUCUCACUGAUUCCUCCUUCCUGAAGAACCGUAAUGCCAUUAAUUUGGUGUUGCGGGGAAACAGGACUGUUACUUUGAAAAAAUUAGAGUGUUUAAAGCAAGCCAACGCUUGAAUACAUUAGCAUGGAAUAAUGAAAUAGGACGAUCGAUCCUAUUUUGUUGGCUUCUAGGAUUGACGUA